CUCAGACACACAGUGAUACUCCUCCCUGCUUGCUUCUGCACAUCAUUGCAUUCAUUCAAUAACAUACUCAUUCAUUGAAUGAAGAUUUAUUAAGCACUUACUGCAUGCCCAUAUGUUACUUAUUAGGAUACAAUGAUGAAUAAGAACAAAUGCCUGUCCUCAAAGAUCAUAUCGUCAGGAGUACUCAUGCCUGGCAGCACAUCAGAAUCGUCCACAGGGCUGCUUGAAAGCACAGAGGUUUGGGCUUCAUCCUAUCUCAGAAUGAAAAGAGAGGGAAAGGAAACAGCAAGCAAAAAAAUCAUAAGAGAAUGAGGGGAGCUGAUUACAAAUUUCUCCUGUUACCUUCCUGACAACCAAUUGGGUGAAUGGGCUGGGCUGUAGAGCCAAAAAGACUGGUUCAAAACUCAGGCAUUUUUAUAUUCUGGCUUGCUGGGACAUUUCCCCUUUGCAUCUGUGGCUGUGAAAUUAUUACUAGUUCUCCCUUUUACUUUCAAAAGUGCCCUGUUUUGGAUGAUAAGUUCUAUAAUCACCUUAUUCUAUAGUCAGUUUUACCCUUUCCUACCCGUGAACACGUGGGGGAAAUGGCUGCAACUUUCUGAGCCUCAGUUUCAUGGUCUGUAUCGUAGAGUGAGCCAUACCUACUUGAGAAGGUGUGAGAAUUAAAUGAGAUGAUGUUUGCCAAGUGCCUGGCACAGUAGAUGUUUAAUUCACAGAAGCUGUUGUUAUUGUUUGCCUUGUAGAAAGUGGUUUUCAUCUGGUCUGCAUUUUUCACUGUCAAAUGAAACGAGACCUCAACGAUGAGAACAUUGAGAUGAAGCACAGAGCAUUUAUAUCGGUGGAGAGGAUGGCCUGGGUCAGCAAGACAUUACUUGGGUAGUCACUGGCCAGGGUGACAAGCCUGUCUUAAGAAUCUCUGUUACAAUAUUAAAACUUCAGCUCAAUGGCCUAGAAAGCUUAACUUUACUACCCUCCUUGUUGGUUUAAAUUUCUAUAGCAUUAGGUCAAAUGCCAGCAAUGGGCCCAGAAGGAGGGAACCGCAGUCUAUUUUGAUGUCCAGGGUCAGGCUGAGGAGAGAGACUGACACAUUAUCUGUCUGGCUGACUGUCCACUCCCCCCCACCACAGUGGUGACUCAUCAGAGGGCGAGAAAGACCCGUCUCCGCCUGUCUGAACAGUGAUUCUGCCGGUGAUUCAUUGUUGCCCACCAGAAAGCCCCCUUCUUAAUGUCCUCUUUCUGAGCUCUUCAAUUAGCAUUUGAGGCCAAAGGAUAUUUAGAGGGAAGGGAGGGUAGAAAGAUCCGCCAGUCGGACCGAGUGUGGCUUCACUCAGUGGCAGUGGGACACAGGGAGGGAGAAGAGGAAGUGCUGGGUACGGCUUGCUCCCAGAGUAGGAACUUGGAAACAGCUAGAGAAAAAAUAUAUAUAUAAUAAAUGGUGAAUAUUUAUAACAUUGCAGAGGUCCUUAGGGGUGAAGGAAUCUCACCAAAGACAGGAAGAAGGGCCAAAACUUUAUAGAAAUUAGAAAUCUUUUUGGAUGACAUUGCAUGAAGCUUGCUAUGUGAAUGGAUUGUUUAAAAGUCUAAGGUAUGUCAAACUGAAGAUAAAGUGGAUCAACAUGAAGAGAAUAUUUGUAGUCUAGGAUAAAAGGAAGACUAAGGCAGGACUUAUCCAGUGCUGUUCUAGAAAGACAGUUACUGAGGCUGGUAGAUAUUCAAGUCUCCAGAAUUAUCCAUAAGUUCUCUAGUAUGGGCCUAAAAGUGAUUAGUUUUCCCAAAGUGUGAUAGGUAAAAUUAGUAACAUAUAUACACAUAAAGAAAAAUUCUUUUAGGAGUAAUCUGUGCAUUCAUACCACUUGUACAUCAAACCAAGAUUAUCACAUGUAUUUUUCUUUGAACACAAUUAAGUAAAAAUAUGCAAACUUUUUCUUUCUCCAGACAUGCCAAGCUUCAGCUGAAACUCAAGCCUCAUGCAGUUUUCUCUGCUUGGAAUGUUCUCUGCCCAGCCUUCACCUGCCCAGCUUCUUGUCCUACAGGUCUCAAGUCAAAUGCCUUCUUCUCAGUGAAGACUUCCCUGGCCACCUUGUCAACAUAAAUGUCAUCUGGUUAUUCUCUCUCCAGCCUGUGGCCUAUUUUUUCUAAAGAACUUUUCAGAAUCUCAUCCAUAUCUUGGUUUACUUGUUUGUAACCAGUGUCUCUCCUCCAGAAUGUAAGCUCCAGGAGAGCAGCACUUCCUCCUUGAUGUUAUUCCUGCUUCAAUCCUUAGCGUCUAGCCCAGUGCUUAAUACAGAUUUGUUGAAUAAAGAUCCAUUAAAGUGAAUUAUGGACUUAAUAAUGCCAUUCUUGCAUUGGGGAAAAAAAAUUGUGGAGUUGUAGUAAGGACAUGGAGAACCUGGACAUGGCCAUAGGAAAGUGUAAAAUGUUUGGUGAUAAUUAUACUUUUCCCCCUCAAAUGAGCCACAGACCUGAGAGUUAGGUAGGGAUGAACUGUUUUCCCAUGCUGGUAAAUAUGAAUUAGAACACAUGGCUUAGAAAUGAGUCAAAAACAGGUUUCCCACUCCUGCCUCUUCUGAUAGAGAUGACUUACUCAGUUACAGCUAGAAAACUUCAAGCUUCUCUCUUUCGUUUCCUCCCUCCUUCUCUUUCCCACCCCUCCUAUCACCCUGACUCAGGGAAAGGGCUGUCCCAGGGGACUGACCUUACAGAAGAGGUAGAAGCUGAGAGAACACCUGUGACUCUGAAAGCCAUUCUUUCAUGGGGAAGAGCAGACUAGGAUAGAAGCUUCCUCCAAAGCUCUUCUGAGAUUAAAAUUUCUAUAUGGAAGUGAGCUAAUGCAGGAAUGGGUGGAAGUAAAAUGGAUUUCCCUAGAGUAAAUAUCAUGGUCAUGCAUGUGUCAUGGGAGAAAAGGGAAGCUGAGGACCACUGUAAACCACCAUCAGUUCCCAGAGAUCCGGGAUUAUGUCUUCAACUACUAUUCAGAGACCACUGAUCCUAGCAUGUAUUUUGUGCCUGGCACACAGUAGUGGUCAAUCAGUGUGUGCCUAACAGUGUGCUCCGAAGGAAUGGAAGACUAUAUGAAUGAUUGACUAUAUGAGUGAUUGAGUGAAUAAAAUAUGCAUUAUACUUCUGCCUCUUACAAAUCUAGUUAAUGUGAGUCUAAUCUUAAACCCUGCUCACCUUAGAAUACAGAAUAAAAAAUAUAUUUUUUAGACACACAAGGCUGAAAACGAGAAUCUGGACAGAAGUGACCCCACUAAUUUCUGGCAAUGUUGUAAACCCUCUUGGGACACCUUUUAGCCCCAAGUAAUCUGGGGAUCUUACAGUGGGUAGUUCACAUAACCUGUGAUGAACCAAUAAGCCAUCUCUGCCUGCAUUCAGUCUCUUGAGGAGAGGUUCUUAACUUAGGUCCAUGAACUCUUCAAGGAUCAGAAUGCAGACACCUGGAGGCCUGGGAAGAAAAAGGAAAAAAUACAGCUUGAUUUGCACUCACCUGUAAUUGAAAUUUAGUAUUUCUAUCACUUGUGUAUGUAGACAACACACAGUUUAUUAGCAAUAGCUGUGAUUUUUGUCAUCCACAGAAAUGACAGAUAAUUUCAUAUCAUAUGUCAGCUGUGGCAGAGAUCAUGAAAUAUUGCCCUCGUGUCUAUUUCAAAGUUACAUUAGUUACUGAACUUCUGCUAGAUCUUCUUUGAUGCCUUCAAAUAGCAUAUAGAGCACUUGUGGUACUCAGGCUUCUAAGAUGACCUUCAAUGACUCCACCUUCUGGCU
rnacentral:lncRNA from 1 species